rnacentral:rRNA from 1 species
GACGAACGCUGGCGGCGUGCUUAACACAUGCAAGUCGAGCGGUAAGGCCCUUUCGGGGGUACACGAGCGGCGAACGGGUGAGUAACACGUGGGUGACCUGCCUUUAGCUCUGGGAUAAGCCUGGGAAACUGGGUCUAAUACCGGAUAUGACUCCAUGAUGCAUGUUGGUGGGGUGAAAGCCUUGUGCGGCUGGAGAUGGGCCCGCGGCCUAUCAGCUUGUUGGUGGGG